AUAAAGUGAAUUUAAAUUAGUUUUAGUUUGAACACUAGACAAAAAGAGAUUUUCAUAGGUGUAGAAGGCUUUUGUAGUUUUUUCUUCAUGAUGAAAAUUCUACUUCUCUAUCCGUAGAUAUAGGUUAUUUGACGGUUUACUCCUCUACCCAUGAACGUAGUUCAUUUGAUGGAACCAUGUAACACUAUACAGUGAAAUCACUUCCAUCUGGAAUUUGUAUAUGUUUGGGGUUGUUUCUUAUUUCAUCAUGUUAUAAUAGUUUUACAUGGCAUAAAAAUCUUGAUUCAAUUAUAAUUCAUUCGCCAAAACUCAAUGAUCAUCCUCCUUGUAUGAGUGAAAGCUAGACCAAAAUCUAAUUCAAACUCUUAUCUUUUGGUAGAGUCUUGCAGUUCUCAACUUUUUCAAGAUAACUUAUCCUGAUUUCAAGGUACAAUGAUUUUAGACUCAAUCUUGAAUUUGCAAAUUUUUUGUAGCUGUUUCUCACUUCAUCAUGUUAUAUUUAGCUUUCUAAGGCCUGUAAACCUUGAUCACUUGUUCUUCUUCUCAAAACAUGGAGUGCUCUGUUCAAGCUUUUUACAAGAUUGAUAUUUCCUGGCAAGAAUUUUGAAUAUUAUCAUAGUUGCAAAGUUGUUUGUACUCCGUUGUAUAGAGAAGAUCAAUGUUUGGGAAGAAAAAUAAUUUGUUUGAGCCAUUUUUAUCCUUACAUUUUUUCCGGCACAGCUCCUAAGUCAAAAUCCAAGUUUUGGUGUCAAUUUUAUGGUACAAGCAAAAGGAUAAAUACACAUAUAUAUACUAUGGGAACCAAUGAUAUUUAAGUUAGUAACUGUAAUAGACAUUCUUUGAAGAGAGUGUACAGUAUUCAACAGAUUUAUUUUUUUUUGGAUUUAAAAGUAGAUGCAACUCCCGAGAGAGUUGCAAUAUGCUUUUUGGAUUUAAAACUAUGUGCAAUUCUUUGGAUAUAUCUGUAAGUGUAAUGGUUUCCAUUCCUAACUUGUAGCCAGAGUUGCAUCUCAUUCUUUGCAAGGUAGCCAAAGACAGUUUGGUUGAUAAUCCAGGUAUUUGAUCAAAUACAAUUCCACUAGCUUUCUUCGAACACACCCGGAACUUCCUUCACGAGGGCCCGUUAUCACGAACCCGCAAGGCCAUUGGUGGUCUGCUCUGCUGUUAGCUCAACUUUUACCAUCCUUUCCUCAACACUCAUUAUACAUAAUCUUGGCAGAGUCUCAAGGUUUUCAGCUUCCUCAAGUUUUCGAGUCAGUUUCAGGUAAGGGAGCUCACUGGAAAAUUAACAAUGGAGGCACUUGGGAAUUUGGCACUCGACACCGGAAGGAAGUAUGUCAAUUUGGGUGAUAAUCUAAGGUCGCUCGAAACGAAGUUGCAAAGAUUAUGCAAUAGGAAAAUUGACUUCCAGUCGAAAGUGAAAGUUGCAGAAAGAUCAGGUACUAAGAAAAGGAAAAGAGAGGUUGAUAAUUGGUUUGAAGAGGUAGCAAAAAUAGAGAAUGAAUUCGUUGCAUUGAAAACGAGCAUACAAGAGGGUGGAUUUCUAGAAAAUGCGUUUAGCAGUGGGAAAAGAGUGGAGAAAAUGGACGAUGAUGUAGAGCAACUGAUGGUGCAAAGUGAUAGUGAUCAUUUGGGUGAGCUUUGCCUUGAGGCUUCUGAGAGCAGAGGUGAGCCACGAGAGACAACAGAAUUAUUUGGAGAAAUGUUUCGCAAAGGUCUGGAAACAAUCCCGGCAUGGUUGGGCACCAAUGAGAUCUCAAGGAUUGGGAUCUACGGGAUGGGUGGCGUGGGUAAGACUACUUUGGCGGAACACAUCCAUAAUCACCUCCUCGAGAAUACUCAAUUCAAUGUUUAUUGGAUUUCUGUCUCCCAAGAUUUUACCAUCAAAAGGCUGCAAGGUGACGUUGCUAAACGCUUAGGGCUUGAUCUGUCAGACGUGGAUGAUGCAAAAGUAAGGGCACGUAGGUUGCAUGACGCAUUCGAGAAAAUGAAGGAAAUGGUAGUGCUCAUGUUGGAUGAUGUUUGGGAAGAAUUUCGUUUAAACAGCUUAGGGAUUGAUGCAAGAAAUUGCAGACUGAUUUUGACUACACGCUCAGAAGAAGUGUGCAACCGGAUGCAAUGCCAUAGCAAAUUUGAGUUGAAAACUUUGGACACAGAGGAAGCUUCGGGUUUGUUCGAGCGUACACUUGGCAGCAAGACCGUGCUUGAUGGAGAUUUGAAAGAUAUUGCCAAGUCCGUUGCGAAAAGGUGUGAUGGAUUGCCUCUUGGUAUUGUCACAGUGGCUGGGAGCAUGAGAGGUGUGAGCAACAUUUGUGAGUGGAGAAAUGCAUUGGAAGACUUGAAAGCAUGUUCAGUAGGGCACGAUGAGAUGGAACGAGAUGUGUUUCCCAUCCUGGAAUGGAGUUUCAAUCGCUUGAAUGAAUGCCAAAGGAAUUGCUUCUUGUAUUGCUGUCUUUAUCCGGAAGAUUGGAAAAUAAAAAGAAAGGAACUAAUAGACCUCAUUAUUUGGGCAGAGCUGGUGUCAAAAAGGGAAUCAUGGUCAAAAGCAUUUGAUGAAGGUCAAACGAUAUUAAAAAAACUGAUAAGAGUUUGCUUGUUGGAAGAAGCAAAAGAUUUCAUGGGGGAUGACUGUGUGAAGAUGCAUGAUUUGGUCAGAGACAUGGCAUUAAGGAUCACGCAUGGAAACUCCAAACCAAAGAGCAGCAGAGAUGAUGUACCACGAUUCUUGGUGAAAAGCUUAGGAUGGAGUAAUUCAAAAGUAACACUGGAACCAAACAAAUGGACACAAGAUCUCCAUGCAGUUUCCUUCCAUUCAGAUAUGUUUCAACAUAUAAAAAUAAAAGUUCCACCAGCCUGGUCACCAAAUUGUCCUAAGCUCUCAACCUUGCUUCUUUCUGAUGUUUUCAUAAAAGAAAUCCCAGAUUCAUUCUUUCAACACAUGUGUGGACUUAAAGUUUUGAAUCUAUCUCGGUGCGGAGGUAUAACAGACUUGCCUAAUUCUGUUUCAAACUUGGUGGAUCUCACUGCUUUGAUUUUGGGGGGUUGUUGGGGCGUACGAUCUGUGCCACCAUUGGGAAAGCUCAAGCAAAUGAGGGAUUUGGACCUAUCCUCCACUCAGAUUCUGGAUUUGCCUCAAGAAUUGGAGUCAUUGGUUAAUCUCGAAAGGCUCAACUUGAAGGAUUGUAUACACCUCCGAUCCGUGCCACCACUGGGAAAGCUCAAGCAAUUGAGGGAAUUGGAUCUAUCCGGAACUGAGAUUGAGGAUUUACCUGAAGGCUGGGAGUCACUGGUCAACCUCGAAAGGUUUAACUUGGAUAAGUGUCUAACUGUAAGUCGAAAGAUAAUACCAAAAGGGACAUUUUCCCAAUUUCACUGUCUUCAACUGUUAUUCUUGCCAUCCUAUGGUGGGGUGCAAGUUAAUGAUCCAGAAGUGUUGAACCAAUUAGAAAGUUUUGAAGGAUGUUUGUCUUUUACGGACUUCUAUAAAAUUAUUCGGUGGCCAAAACACUAUAAUAAUGUUUAUAUCAAUGACAUCUUAACUGAGGAUCUGAGUUUUGUUAAUGAAGUGAGGGGGUUCCGGGAGAAACAACUGCAUUUCCAUCAGUGUAAGCUUGGUAGAGGAUCGAACUAUCUGCCAGAUGAUAUGAAAUGUCUGAUAAUCGAGGAUUGUGAGGGCAUGGGCAUUAGGUGCUUGUCAGAUGUUUUUAAGAAUUUUAUAAAUUUAAGCCACUUAACUGAAUUGGAAAUCAAGGAAUUGGUUGAAAUAGAGUUCCUCUGGCAAUUGUCCUCUGCUUCUCCACGUGAUCAGUUGGAAGUCUCGUCUUUUAGUCCACUCCAUGGUCUUGAAGAGCUACAUCUUUCCAGGUUGCCAAAUCUGGUUGGUCUUUUUUUACGGAGAAUCAGAACCAUCAUAUUUGCUCCCAGCUGGCACCUUUUCUUCCCUUAGAGAAUUGUGGAUUUAUGGAUGUCACAGCAUGAAGCAGCUAUUCACAAUGCAGUUGCUGCAGAACCUUCAAAAUCUUGAAGAAUUAAGAGUUGAAGAUUGUGAAGGACUGGAGGAGAUAGCAGCAGAUGGCAGUGGAGUAGGACAAGGAGGAGGAGAAGGCAUCCAAUUGACUUCAAGUGAAGCCACCGCCACUGUCGUCCUUCCAAAUUUAAGGAAGUUGCAUCUGAGGGGGCUGCCGCAACUGAAGAACAUUUGCAAGGCAGCCAUGAUCUGCGAAUCAAUCCGGUCCAAUAAUAUAGCAAAUUGUCGAAAUUUAAAGAGGCUGCCUUUGUUUCUUUCCACCAUCGACGGAGAAUCAGAACCAUAUUUGCUUCCAGCUGGCACCUUUUCUUCCCUUAGAGAAUUGUGGAUUUCUGGAUGUCACAACAUGAAGCAGCUAUUCACAGUGCAGCUGCUGCAGAACCUUCAAAAUCUUGAAAUAUUAGAAGUUAAUGAUUGUGAAGGACUGGAGGAGAUAGCAGCAGAUGGCAAUGGAGUAGGACAAGGAGGAGGAGAAGGCAUCCAAUUGACUUCAAGUGAAGCCACCGCCACUGUCGUCCUUCCAAAUUUAAGGAAGUUGCAUCUGAGGGGGCUGCCGCAACUGAAGAACAUUUGCAAGGCAGCCAUGAUCUGCGAAACAAUCCGGUCCAAUAAUAUAGCAAAUUGUCGAAAUUUAAAGAGGCUGCCUUUGUUUCUUUCCACCAUCGACGGAGAAUCAGAACCAUAUUUGCUUCCAGCUGGCACCUUUUCUUCCCUUAGAAAAUUGUGGAUUUCUGGAUGUCACAACAUGAAGCAGCUAUUCACAGUGCAGCCGCUGCAGAACCUUCAAAAUCUUGAAAUAUUAGAAGUUAAUGAUUGUGAAGGACUGGAGGAGAUAGCAGUAGAUGGCAAUGGAGUAGGAUAAGGAGGAGGAGAAGGCAUCCAAUUGACUUCAAGUGAAGGAGCCACCGCCAAUGUCAUCCUUCCGAAAUUGUGGUGGUUGCGUCUGACUAGGCUACCUCAACUAAAGAACAUUUUCAAGGCAGCCAUGAUCUGCGAAUCAAUCUGGUCCAUUAGUAUAGCAGAUUGUCCAAAUUUAAAGAGGCUGCCCUGGUUUCUUUCCACCAUCGACGGACCACCAUCUCCACCCAGCACUCUAGAGAUCAGAGGAGAAAAAGAAUGGUGGGAAUCAUUAGAGUGGGACAAUUCUUACCCAAAAGAUGCCCUUGACCCACUUUUUAGUGCAUGGUGAUGAAGUUCGAACUGGGUGUUGAAGGCUGCCUAUUUGAUCAAAAUCAUGAUUGGUUCUCAUGUAGCCACAAAAUUGCCGCUGUAAGAGGGGUGAUGUUGUAAAAACAAGUGCUGAUUGAAGCCUUGUUCAACAGCACCAAAUUUCCAUUAUAGAUGAUUUUUUUUUUUAACUUGAUUGUAACUGGAGCAGUGAUACAGUUUUUUGUGAUUAUUCCUUGAUUACCAACAAAACUGUUUUGGGUGCAAGUGGGAGGGGCUUGCAUCCCUUAACCAUGAGGUUUCGGGUUUGAAACUCAUGGGAAUGAAAAAAACAACAUUGGGAGAGAUUCCCCCUACAAAGGGCCCGACGUGGCUCGAACAGGAUUAGUCGCAGACCGUAAAACGGAUACGGACACCUUCAAUGACCAAGUAUUCUCCCCUAUAUAUAGGAUAUAUUUUUUUUACUAGUCCUCUGCUAAGUGCAAUAGAUGUUAGUGAAAUUGGGACAGACACGGUAGUCUUUUUAUGCAAAUUUUAACAUUUAUUAUAUU